CCAUAGAUUAUUAAUUACCUAGAUGUCUCACUUCGGGAUUUUUCCAUACAUCCAGUUGGCGACACCCCUUUAGCGCUCCGAGCGCCACCACAGUCAAGUUACAGGUACUAAAAUGUUUGGAAAAAUCUAAGCAACCUCUGCAAGUGCCCAUUGCAAAUAUUGUUUGUUUUUGACAAUAUGUCAUCCAUCAUGGUUCAACGCGUGCUUUUCGGUCGUAAUUUGCUCGGAUUAAGUGGAGCGCGGCCUCCGUCGCCAGGCCAGGCCAGACCAGCAGCAGUGACGAUUCCGAACAGCAAUCCAAACUUAAGGAUCCAACAAGAGCAGGAGGUGACCCUCAUCAUGCCGAUCGUGGACAAUGGCGAAAGCGCAGCAAAAUUGUGCCUCUUCUAAUGUGGUUCCGAUGAGAAGAGGCCAUAAAAUAUUUGUCAAAAAGUUGGGCUAAUUCAAUAAUAAAGCACUGAUCCCGCUGGCUGCAAGUGGAUAUCAAAUGAAGUGGUAUGAAGCUUUCACAUCGUCUCAGAGGGGUGUUUCUGACCAUCCAACCCCAGAAGUGACUUGGAGCCGCGUGAACAGCCUUGGUCCUCGGACGGAGUACAGGACACUAGAUUUUUAAAUCCGAUAGUUUAUUAUCAACUAAUUACAUAGAAAAUGAUGCAAUAAAAACAUUUAAUUUUGUUUUAUUUCA